ACUCCUGCGGGAGGCAGCAGUGGGGAAUUUUACGCAAUGGGGGAAACCCUGACGUAGCGACACCGCGUGAGCGAAGAAGCCCUUUGGGGUGUAAAGCUCUGUCAGCUGGAACGAAAACAAUGACGGUACCAGCAGAGGAAGCAUCGGCUAACUACGUGCCAGCAGCCGCGGUAAGACGUAGGAUGCGAGCGUUGUCCGGAUUUAUUGGGCGUAAAGAGUUCGUAGGUGGUUUGUUAAGUUUGGUGUUAAAGAUCGGGGCUCAACCCUGGGACUGCACUGAAUACUGGCAGACUCGAUGGUGGUAGAGGCUAGUGGAAUUCCCAGUGUAGCGGUGAAAUGCGUAGAUAUUGGGAAGAACACCGGUGGCGUAGGCGACUAGCUGGGCCAUAACUGACGCUGAGGAACGAAAGCCAGGGGGGCGAAUGGGAUUAGAAACCCGUGUAGUCCC
rnacentral:rRNA from 1 species